GACGAACGCUGGCGGCGUGCUUAACACAUGCAAGUCGAGCGGAAAGGCCCUGCUUUUGUGGGGUGCUCGAGUGGCGAACGGGUGAGUAACACGUGAGUAACCUGCCCUUGACUUUGGGAUAACUUCAGGAAACUGGGGCUAAUACCGGAUAGGAGCUCCUGCUGCAUGGUGGGGGUUGGAAAGUUUCGGCGGUUGGGGAUGGACUCGCGGCUUAUCAGCUUGUUGGUGGGGUAGUGGCUUACCAAGGCUUUGACGGGUAGCCGGCCUGAGAGGGUGGCCGGCCACAUUGGGACUGAGAUACGGCCCAGACUCCUACGGGAGGCAGCAGUGGGGAAUAUUGCACAAUGGGCGGAAGCCUGAUGCAGCAACGCCGCGUGCGGGAUGACGGCCUUCGGGUUGUAAACCGCUUUCGCCUGUGACGAAGCGUGAGUGACGGUAAUGGGUAAAGAAGCACCGGCUAACUACGUG
rnacentral:rRNA from 1 species